UACGUAGGGCGCAAGCGUUUGUCCGGAAUUAUUGGGCGUAAAGAGCUCGUAGGCGGCCUGUUGCGUCCGCUGUGAAAUCCCGGGGCUUAACCCCGGGCCUGCAGUGGAUACGGGCAGGCUGGAGGCAGGCAGGGGGAGAACGGAAUUCCCGGUGUAGCGGUGAAAUGCGCAGAUAUCAGGAGGAACACCGAGUGGCGAAGGCAGGUCUCUGGGCAUUAACUGACGCUGAGGAGCGAAAGCAUGGGGAGCGAAC
rnacentral:rRNA from 1 species